rnacentral:rRNA from 1 species
UACGAAGGGGGCUAGCGUUGUUCGGAAUCACUGGGCGUAAAGCGCACGCAGGCGGGUCGUUAAGUCGGGGGUGAAAUCCCGAGGCUCAACCUCGGAACUGCCUUCGAUACUGGCGAUCUUGAGUCCGGGAGAGGUGAGUGGAACUCCGAGUGUAGAGGUGAAAUUCGUAGAUAUUCGGAAGAACACCAGUGGCGAAGGCGGCUCACUGGCCCGGUACUGACGCUGAGAUACGAAAGCGUGGGGAGCAAACAGG